GAUGAACGCUGGCGGCGUGCCUAAUACAUGCAAGUCGAGCGAACGGACGAAAAGCUUGCUUCUCUGAUGUUAGCGGCGGACGGGUGAGUAACACGUGGAUAACCUACCUAUAAGACUGGGAUAACUUCGGAAAACCGGAGCUAAUACCGGAUAAUAUUUUGAACCGCAUGGUUCAAAAGUGAAAGACGGUCUUGCUGUCACUUAUAGAUGGAUCCGCGCUGCAUUAGCUAGUUGGUAAGGUAACGGCUUACCAAGGCAACGAUGCAUAGCCGACCUGAGAGGGUGAUCGGCCACACUGGAACUGAGACACGGUCCAGACUCCUACGGGAGGCAGCAGUAGGGAAUCUUCCGCAAUGGGCGAAAGCCUGACGGAGCAACGCCGCGUGAGUGAUGAAGGUCUUCGGAUCGUAAAACUCUGUUAUUAGGGAAGAACAUAUGUGUAAGUAACUGUGCACAUCUUGACGGUACCUAAUCAGAAAGCCACGGCUAACUACGUG
rnacentral:rRNA from 1 species